CCGUCCGGCCUGGUGCCUUUUAUACUGCGCUCCCCCCGCCUCCCACCGGGUUUCCUCCUCCCCCUCGGCGCCGGAGCCCGCCCAGCCCUUUCCUCGCCGCUCGCGGAGCCCUCCGUCCUGGCGUUCGCACACAAGCCUUUCGCAAGUUUCCAAGCCCAUCUCGCACCCAGUGCCCCUGGGAUGGGUCCUCCCGAUUCUCCCUUGGUGACUGAUAUUAAAUAAAUAAACAAACCUUUCUCGCCGGCUUGACUUUCUCCCCCUCCGCCCGGAUUCUGCCCUCCUGCUCCCUGGGCUCCAAACUAAGGAAAUAUUCUUAAUUCAACGACUUUGAUUGAUUUUAUGAACAUCUUUAUGCGCAAGACACCUCAGCCAAGUCUUACCCAGAUUAAGACAAGACGCACCUUCAUCAUUACGGAAGCUGCACAGUCACGGUGGCAUUUUGCAGAAUUUAAAUAGCAAUGGUUAAGCAAUACGUGAGGUGAGAUGGUCAAGAAUUCUGGUUCUUCUUCUACAUCUGACCAUGAAACAUCCCAAGUGCAGGAGAUCACCCAUCUCAUCUAGGGCUUCCAAGACCUGUAAAGAGAUCGCCUUCCAUUAGUCAUCUUUGAACCUCCAAGUGGCUCUGCUCUCCAGUGCCUCACAGAGAGCUACACUCUUCUUUUCCCAGCUUCUUUGAUUUUAAAGAAAAGAAGAAAAAUCCAAAUCAUUAAGGUAUGGUGUAUACGGAAUCCCUAGAGGAAUGUUAGGUGCUAAUUCACUUUAUUUCAUAUUCUUUGUCUAACAUAAUGAAUGUGUCACUUAUUUUGGUGGUAUGAAGAAAAUAAUAAAAGUGUCUGACCUAUGCUACCCUUUAGCUUUAUUUUAAAGUUUAAUGAC